rnacentral:tRNA from 1 species
GUCCCCAUAGUUCAAUGGAUAGAACGGAGGUUUCCUAAACCUUAAAUGGCAGUUCGAUUCUGCCUGGGGAUA